CAGAAUUGCCUUUACAUUGUAAUAGCCACCUAGUUACCUGUAGGGUGAAAGCCAAAGACUAUGGGUCUGUUAAUGCCUGGAUGGAGCUGAUUCUGUACUGUUAUUUCAGUUUAGGGAAGUCAGGGAAGGAUUUUUUCUUUGAUUGUUAAAUGCUGCUUUUCUCAGGCCAGGAGAAUGGGUUAGAAAAGAAAGAAGAAAAAAAAUCCAGCAGUGCACUUCACUCUCUGGCACAGAGAAUUCCAAUGUUAAUGAAGCUGGCUGGGGCAAUGAGGGAUGGAAUCAGAUAUAUAGAAGAGAGUAGCCUGGCAAAAUAUAGAAAGUUACUUAUGUUGUUUGGUGAGGACUGUUUUUUCUGAGAUUCCAGAGCAUUGUGUCGCUCGUGUGUGGUGGCUGGAUCCCUGCUGAGACUGUCCCAGAGGGUUAGGGCUGCGUCCAUGCUCACACCGUCUCAGGAAGCCACAAUCGGCUCCCCCACACUUAGUCCAAAGCCCAGCACCAGGGUUUCCUUUCUGGGACGCUGCACUCCAGGCUCCAGAACCAGUCGCUGCUUCCCUAUAGUUUUUCGUUUCCCUGUCAGCCACGUCUGUGUGGAGCCUGUGUGUGCUGCCUGGGUCCCCUCUGAGGUUGGUCCUGAGGGUUGGGCCUAUAUCUGUUCUUCCGUGUCUCAGUAAGCCACAAUCAGCCCCACCACUCUGACACCAGGAAACCACGAGGGCUCAAGGCUGUGGCGUGGGACACUGGCUCUGGAAGUGGUCCCUGCUGCAGCGUGGCUUUUCGCUCCCCCGUCACUCAGGUCAACUCCUUAGUUCUGUGUUUGAUGGUCAGGGUUUGUAGAUUGUCCUUUAUGUAAUCAGUUCACUUGUUUUUUCGAGUCUUUGUUUCAAGAGGGAUAAGCGGAAUCUUCUACCUAGUGAGCCAUCUUGGUCCUGCCCCCGUGUCUGCCUCUUUAUGUGAUUUGAUAUUGACUGUUGUCUCUGAGCCAUCUGUAAGUUAUUGUAUUAGUUUAUUUUAUGCUUGCUUUUUGUAUCCUAGCUUCUUGCUUUGUUUAGUUUUGGUAUACCCAAAUAAGCUGCUUGAGUGCACUAGGUUGAUUAUUUUCACCUUUGAAGCUCUAAUGUACUAUCACCAGAUGGCUAGCACUGUUACCAGGCAUAUGAGCCUAGGAGUUCAUUUAUUUUUCUUGUAUGGAUUCAACUCAGGUGCCCAGGUAGUUGGUCAUAAAGUGUGUGGUACGGGCUCUGUCCUACAGUCUUAAAGGGGCAGGGGUCAUUGGUGUAGGCAGAAGUAUCUGGCUGCAGUAGGGGGUCAGGCUCUGAUCAAGGCAGGGGUCUGACAGCUGUGCUCUGAGUGUCUGUGAGGAAAGUGCAUCCCUGUUCUGUAGAGCACAUGGGUGGGUUCUGCAGAAGGGCAGUGGGUACCCAAUGCUUUUGGUUGUAAGUUCUGGGCGGUACUACUUAUCCUUGGAGCCCUAUCACAGGUGGCUAGGUAUUGUGGGUGGAGCCAGCAGUCCUUAUGCCCCUGAUGUGGGUAGGUGAAGACCCUGUUUAAUAGGCAAAGCAGUGUCAAACAUCAAAUACCCAUCUUUCCACCGUUCAGGUGAAACAGUUGCAGUCUGGCAACAAGGGCCUAUUCUCCUGAAAUGGGCCCACACAGGUCCAUGCUGGGGUGAAAGGUAUUCAAAGCCCAUGGACUGUUUGUGCCUGAACAAGAGCUGCUUCUGUCCUGAGCUCCCCAGCUUAAUUGAGCUGGCAGAUUAUCUUUCCCCCAGUUGUGAACUUAUACCUUCUUCAAGGAUGGAAAAAUGGCUCAGAGUGGUACCAGGGCCUAUCUCAGGCCCAGGGAAGUUGACAGCCACUGAAGCCGGCUUGGGGGCUGGGGGCGUGGUAAAAUAAACACAAGUAAUUAGCUUUUGCUGAGAGUGCCGUUCUUCUCUUGUUCUGGAGGUGUGAGUAGUCUGUGCAACUUGCUGUCCUUCCCUGAGCUAAACGCCUGUGGAACGCCACUGCCAGCCCCACUGCAGUCGCUCCAGGGAACGGUGCCUGAGGGUUCCUGGCUAUUCAGGUCCAGUAACUCCUCUCCACUUCUGAAUAGUCUCUCCCUCCCCCUGCCGCUGAGUCCAUUUUCUAACUUUACCUUUGAUGUUCAGGGCUCCUAGCUUCUCAUAAAUAUAAUCGCUUCACUUGUUUUUUCUGGUCUUUUUUGUAAGAGGGAUCACUGGUGGCGUCUCAAUACUCAAAACUUCAUCAUUUCUUCCUUUCACUUUAGCUACUCGACAUUCAAGAGCAACGUUCAGAGUCUCUUCCGACAUCCGUUUUGGUCUUUUCUUUCUUUCCUGUCUUUUAAAGGAUCUCUUGCUUUCUUCAUGUGUGAUGUCCUUGAUGUCAUUCCACAACUCGUCUGGUCUUCAGUCGUUAGUGUUCAACACGUAAAAUGUGUUCUUGAGGUGGUCUCUAAAUACAGGUGAGAUAUACUCAAGGUCAUAUUUUGGCCCCUUUUGACUUAUUCUAAUUUUCUUCAGUUUCAACUUGAACUCCCAUAUGAGCAAUUGACAGUCUGUUUCACAAUUGAUCCCUGGCCUUGUUCUGACUGAUGAUAUGAGUUUUCCCAUCUUCUCUUUCCACAGAUGUAGUCAGUUUGAUUCCUGUGUAUUCCAUCUGGUAAAGUCCACGUGUAUAGCUGCCGUUUAUGUUGGUGAAAAAAAAUAUUUGCAGUGGAUGAGUCACUGGUCUUGCAGAAUUCUUUCAUGAGAUUUCUGGUGUCAUUUAUUUCAUCGAUGCUGUAUUUUCCAACUACUUUUCCUUCUUUGUUUCCAACUUUAACAUUCUAAUGACCAGUAAUUAUCAAUGCAUCUUGAUUGCAUGUUUGAUCAAUUUCAGGCUGCAGAAGUUGUUUAAAAUCUUCAAUUUCUUUAUCUUUGGCAUUAGUGGUUGGUGCAUAAAUUUGAAUAGUCGUAUAAACUAGUCUUCCUUGUAAGUGUAUGGAUUUUAGCCUAUUAGUGACAACAUUGUACUUCAGGCUAGAUCUUGAAAUGUUCUCUUUGAUGAUAUGUAACGUCAUUCUUUUGACUCUAGUGGAAUAUCCAUGUUUGUAAGACUGCUCACAGACUGUUUCACCAGAGAGUUUUCUGGUACUGCAACAUCUACCACUAAUCUCUGUGAUCCCUGUGAAUUGGCAAAAUAAGAAUAGUGCUAUAGAUUUCUUCCAAAUACAGAAAACAUAAGUAUGAAAAUGUUCUUGCUGUUGAUUAUAUUCUUUACCAAUCUGUUUGUGUGGGAUUUUUGGUACUUCACUUGAAAAAUGAGUCCAAGGUACUGUGAUGUGAUUGUUUACUUUGUGUGGCCUUUCUAGCCAUGGUCUUAUAACAUCCACCCUGGUGCUUGGGCAGGACUGUGUGAUAGGGUAAUUGUGGCUCACCAAGGGGAUUGUUUAUUUUCCCUUCAAAGAGAACCAGUUCCAGAGCAAAGAGGAGGAUUCAACUCCCAUCAAGGAAGAACAGCCAAGAGCCGAGCGUAUAUUAUGGACCUGAGAUCCCUGCACUGAGAAGCUCCUAGAAGCAAGAGACUGAGAUAGAGAGAGGAAGCUGUAACCCUGAAGAUGCUUAAAUACAGACCAGAAGAGGAGUUUGGGGCUUGACACCUGACAUCUUAACACCAGUUCCUGUUUCUUGAGGAAGGAAGAGGUAAAAUAAAUCAGCGUUUACUGUUUCCUUCUCCAUCCCCGGAAGUCCUGAUGAAGACCCUCUCAGAGAACCAGUUCCAGAGCAAAGAGGAGGAUUCAACUCCCAUCAAGGAAGAACAGCCAAGAGCCGAGCGUAUAUUAUGGACCUGAGAUCCCUGCACUGAGAAGCUCCUAGAAGCAGGAGACUGAGAUAGAGAGAGGAAGCUGUAACCCUGAAGAUGCUUAAAUACAGACCAGAAGAGGAGUUUGGGGCUUGACACCUGACAUCUUAACACCAGUUCCUGUUUCUUGAGGAAGGAAGAGGUAAAAUAAAUCAGCGUUUACUGUUUCCUUCUCCAUCCCCGGAAGUCCUGAUGAAGACCCUCUCAGGAGGGAAGAGGUAAAAAAGAAGGCAGUGUCUACUAUGUCCUUUGCCAUGUGUGUCAGGAAAUCCUCAUGAAGAGCCUCUCAGCUUCAACUUGAACGUGAAUAUGAGCAACUGAUCAUCUGUUCUGCAGUCAGCCCCUGGCCUGCUUCUGACUCAUGAUAUUGACCUUCUCCAUCAUCACCUUCCACAAAUUUGAUUCCUGUCUAUUCUGCCUGGAAUGGUUCAUGAGUAUAGUCACCGUUUAUGUUCCUGAUGAAAGCUUAAAUACAGACCAGAAGAGGAGUUUGGGGCUUGACACCUGACAUCUUAACACCAGUUCCUGUUUCUUGAGGAAGGAAGAGGUAAAAUAAAUCAGCGUUUACUGUUUCCUUCUCCAUCCCCGGAAGUCCUGAUGAAGACCCUCUCAGCUUCAACUUGAACGUGAAUAUGAGCAACUGAUCAUCUGUUCUGCAGUCAGCCCCUGGCCUGAUUCUGACUCAUGGUAUUGACCUUCUCCAUCAUCACCUUCCACAAAUUUGAUUCCUGUCUAUUCUGCCUGGAAUGGUUCAUGAGUAUAGUCACCGUUUAUGUUCCUGAUGAAAGGUAUGUGCAAUGAAUAAGUCAUUGGUCUUGCCAAAUUCUAUCAUGUAAGCUUCAUUGUCAUUUCUAUCAUCAAUACCUUAUUUUCCAACUGCUGAUUUGUCUGCUUUGUUUUCAACUUCGCAUUCUAAAUGAUUGAUCAAUGCAUCACAUUUGAUCAGUUUCAAACUGCAUAACUUGGUAAAAACCUUCAACUUGUUCAUCUUUCACAUUCAUGAUUUGUGUGUAAAUUUGAAUAAUAGUCUUAUUAACUGGUCUUCCUGGUAGGCCUGUGGAUAUUAUCCUAUUGCUCGUAAUGUUGUACUUCAGAAAAGAUCUUGAAAUGUUCUUUUUAUCGAUGAAUAUGAUGCCAUUCUCUUCAGUAUCUCAAUCCUGGCAUAGUAGGACAUAUCAUUGUCUAGUUUAAAAUGUCCAAAACCAAGCUAUUUCAGCUAACUAAUGCCUUGGAUUACUGACCUUUAUGCAUUCCAUUUGAUUUUUGAUGACUUCCAAUUUCCCUAGAUUCAUACUUCCUUCAUUCCACAUUCUGAUUAUUAAAGGAUAUUUGCAUCAGUUUCUUCUCAUUAUGAGUUAUGCCCCAUCAGGAAAUGUCAUUAAAGUGGGAUCUACUUUGAGGAGGUAGCUCUUCCCCACUCGUAUUUUGAGUGCCUUCCAACCUAAGGGGUUAUCCUCUGUCAUUCAAUCAGACAGUGUUCCAGUACUAUUUGGAAGAUUUCACUGGCCAGUUUUUUUUAGAAAUAGAUCACUAGGUCCUUUUUCCUAGUCUGUCUAAAUCCAGAGCUCCACUCAAAGCUGUCUACCAUGUGUGAACCUGGUGGUAUUUGAAAUACCGGUGGCAUAGCUUCUAACAUCACAGCAACAUGCAAGCCACCACACUACAACAAACUGACAGAAGAGUGGUGGGAGUUAAAAAUGAGAAGAACCAAAAAGAGUGCUUCUUCCAUGUCUGCUGAUUUAGAGGAACCAUGAAAAAUUGUCAAGUGAAGAGUGAUUCAGAGAAAAACAUGGGUAGAGUGUGACCUAAUUUCCAUAAAAACAAACAAAUGAAUGUACUUACGUGUGUCCCGGCAAAAAGCAGUGUGUAAAAGGGUACAUAUGUAUCUUUGGACACUGGACACUUUGGGGAGCAGGUACAAUAUACUUAUGAGGGGGUGGCUCUUAUUAUAACUUCUAUAUACAAGUCUCUAUUGUUAAAUAUGUUAUAAGAAUGUAAAACCUUUUAAAGUUAAUAACAUCAUACGUGUAUGUGUGUGUAUUUGAAACUUUUUUUCUGUUUUGACUAUUUUAUAUAUGUGUUUUUUAGUUAUCUAGUGUGGCUAUAGCAGAGAUACCACAAGUGGAUGGCUUUAACAAACAGAAGCUUAUUCUCUCACAGUUUAAGAAGCAACAAGUUUGAAGUCAGGGCACCAGCUCUAGGAGAAAGCUUUCUCUCUUUGUGGCUCUGGGGGAAAGUCCUUGUCAUCUAUCUUCCCCUGGCCUAGGAAGUUCUCAGCCUGUGGACACUGGGUCAAAAAGACCUGCUCCACUCCAGGCACUUCUUCCUUGGUGGUAUGAGGUCCCUCUCAUUUCUGCUCACUUUUCUCUUUUUAUGUCAAAAGAGACUGACUCAAGACUCACCCUAAUCCUGUAGAUUGUGUCCUCCCUCAUUAACCUAACUGCCUCUAAUCCUGCCUCAUUAACAUCACAGAGGUUAGAAUUUACAACACAUAAGUAAUCACAUCAGAUCACAAAAUGCAGGACAACCACACAAUACUGGGAAUCAGGGUCUGGCCAGGUUGACACACAUUUUGGGGGACACUAUUCAAUCCAUAACAAUAGAGAAAACACUGUCUUCAAUGCCAGAUUCAGAGACUUUUAUCCAUCUGUGAAGGGCAAACACAGAAACUGAACAAAAUUCAGACCAGCGAAUUAUUGCUUGCUCUUGUAACUAAUGACUUCUUCUGGUCUCUAUGCCUGGAAAUGGCCAAAAAGAAUUCUGUGAGGAUUAAUUCAGUUAUUGCUCAAACAUCUACUGCAUUUACAUGUCUACAGAUAAGGAAGAAUGCUGGACACCAUGUGUGAUUCAUUAAGUAACACGGGGACCAUUAGACUAUUGUUCUCCUUCUCUGAUAUGCCACUAUCACCUUCUCCCCUUGUUGCUCUCCUGAAAAACCCACACUUGUAUAUUCUAGGCUUUUUUUCAGGAUUGAAUUUGCAGGAAGUUAAAGAUACAUCUUUGAAAGAUAAAGAAGACUUUGGCCACAUUGUCUUUAGACAGUUGAACUUCCCAGCCAACCUCUGUGCAGGAUGGGAAUUCACAAUCCCUCCUACUCAGUACCUCUGAGCAGGACGGGAUUUCUGUUUCAUUAUCAGGAGACUGUGGAAUUCACCCCUCUUCAGAAAACUUACUUUCCUUUGCCUCAAACUGUCCCUCUCAGGAUCUGUCACGGUCACUCUGAGAAAUUCACAUGGGCAGCCUGUAUGGAAGUGCCCAUCCUAGAGGCCCUGCCCUCCCUUCCUUGCUCCAUAGGGCUACCUCUGACACUUGGGGUCGCAUCUCCCAGGGAGUACACACCUCUGGCACUUCCAGGGAUUCCCAGGCCCUGGGAUACUGUGGAUGGGACUUGGAACUCAAUCUGUUUCUUCCCAUCCUCACCUUUGGUUAUCUGUGUUCUGUCUUCACCAGAUUUAGGAGGCCUUGUCUUCUCUUUGCUCGUUUCAUCUCAGUCAGGCUUUUCUAUUCCAACUCUCUGAUCUCAGGACAGAUCAGGUUAGACCACAGAAAAGACAAAGACCAAGCAAACAUCACUGAUCUGUGCAGAAGCUGCUGGGAAGGGAUUCGAUUCUCAUUGGUUUAGGGUUUUAUGCCCACUGCUCACCGGCAGGCAGAUUCCCCCCAGAGUCUGGCUUCUGUCUGGUACCUUGUACUACAAAGAACUCAGUGACCAGCCCACCUUCACAAUCACACCUCCCUUAGAGCUAUCUUUGCAGAGGCUCUUUCUCAGACUUCCAUGUCCCACUGAAAUCCCUUUUCUCUUUCCUUACCAACAUUAUGCUCAUUCUCAGGGCCCUGAGACCUCAUCUGCAGAUGAGUCUUGUCCUCUUCUCUCCUUGGCAGGGGGAGCUUUUGAGUGGAUCUCAUGUCUUCGGACAGCUAUCCUGGGCCUACUUCCACCAUGGUGCUCUAGGGCUGGAUCUCUCCACGUAAUAGAGGGGGCGUGGAAGGGGCACAAGGCUAAAAGGAUGGAUCUUCCAGGUGAAGUGGGUUUAAGAAGCCUGAAUGAAGUUCUUCCCUGAAGGGUGCAUAUUUUCAGUCCAGACAUCCCGCUUCUCUCAGUCUAAGAGGCCUAGCACGUCUUCAGAUGCUUCUCCUUUGACCUUCAGGCCAUGCCUGCACCCUCUGCAGCCAGGUCUCCCACAUGUGUAGCAGCACCAGUAGGUGUGGCAGUCUCUUCAGCCCUUGUCUCCUCCUCCAGAUGCUCCUGGAGAUGCCUGGCUCUUCUUGCCAGGACACCAGGAUGCUGACCAGGGACUCAGUGUUGGUUAAAGGAUGUCGACCAGUGAGUACGUGUCCUCAUUUCCUUUGAAGGGUUAGGCUCCUUGCCUGGGCAGAAGACAGCCAAGGUCAGCCGGUGACAGACGGUGACUCCCACACUCACAUAUCCCCUGGUGGCAGAAUGAUAGUGAUGGGUGGAGAAACAUGGCUCCUGAGCACACGUUGAAUGGGGCACCGGCCAAAGGCCACGGCUAGGAGUGGACGUCGUGGAGCUGAAUGGCGAGCCAGUGAAGGGCCGAAGGAUUUCUCCUGUAUGUGGCAAACAGGUCAUCCGUGUCCCCACGUCCAUAAACCAUCGGACUGCCGGGGCCCAGGCUGCCAGGAUUGCGGCCUUGCCUUCGGAGCCCGGCCACAUACGCAGCCUCGCACCGGAGGCGGGGACACGUAGACAGCAAAAAUUUGGAAAAUGGCAGUGUCUCCUCGAUUUCCCCGGCAUCGGCCUUUUUGAGCGGCAUGCUUUGUUCCCUAGUAGGAUAAGGCACUGACAGAGAAAGGCAGGAUUAUGUGUGCAGGAAAGGUGUGUGCUGAGAGGGUGAUGACGUUGAGACCAGGUUGGGAUCUUUAGUCCCAGGAAAGGCCCCUGGCAGGUGUGGGUCAAUGUUCUCUGCCCAUCCGAGUUGGCGGGGGGAGGUUUUCACCAAACAAAGCAGCAGCGGGAUUAUUCGUCGCCGGAGAGGUUGCAUCUGCCCACAAGCUCCACCUGGCCAGGGACCACCCCUACCUAUUGCCCAUGUCAAUCAACAGAAGCUAAGACCUUCCAGAGAGACUACCUGCUAUUGUCUACCCACGGGGAAGCGGUCCAGCCAGAAGCCUCCCCCGUUUCAUCUCCAGGCUCUCUGUCAGGCCCCUCAUACUUGUGAUGUGUCUCAGGGGUAGAAGGAAGAGAUUUCUCUGAAUGAAAACAUCCAGAGAGGGGCCAUAGAUGCUGAGGAACGGCACCUUGCCUACUGACAUCCUAGCGUAAGUGGUAAAGAGGUACCUGCCUGCUGUCCCAGUGUGUCGAACGUGUCCACAUCAGGGAUUGGCUAUUGUCAAGUUAUUCCCUGGUGCCCUCGAUUUUGUGGCCAAAGACACAAGGGCCUGUUGUGUGUCCAUGGGUACAAUGGAGGGCUCUGCAGAACUGGCCGGUUAGGCUGGACUUCUAUUGGCUCAGUGUUUGUGACCCGUCCCCGUCAGAAGUACCGACCAGCC